AUACGUAGGGUGCGAGCGUUAAUCGGAAUUACUGGGCGUAAAGCGUGCGCAGGCGGUUGUGCAAGUCUGAUGUGAAAACCCCUGGCUUGACCUGGGGACGGCAUUGGAGACUGCCCGACUAGAGUACGGCAGAGGGGGGUAGGAGCCCACGUGUAGCAGUGAAAUGCGUAGAGAUGUGGAGGAAUACCAAGGGAGAAGGCAGCCCCCUGGGAUGAUACUGACGCUCAUGCACGAAAGCGUGGGGAGCAAACAGGAUUGGAUACCCUGGUAGUCCACGCCCUAAACGAUGUCAAUUAGCUGUUGGGGGUUUGAAUCCUUGGUAGCGUAGCUGACGCGUGAAAUUGACCGCCUGGGGAGUACGGCCGCAAGGUUAA
rnacentral:rRNA from 1 species